UGGCUCAGAGGGUAAAGCGUCUGCCUACAAUGCAGGAGACCCAGGUUUGAUCCCUGG
rnacentral:tRNA from 1 species